rnacentral:rRNA from 1 species
UACGUAGGGUGCAAGCGUUAGUCGGAAUUACUGGGCGUAAAGCGUGCGCAGGCGGUAAUGUAAGACAGAUGUGAAAUCCCCGGGCUCAACCUGGGAACUGCAUUUGUGACUGCAUUGCUGGAGUGCGGCAGAGGGGGAUGGAAUUCCGCGUGUAGCAGUGAAAUGCGUAGAUAUCAGGAGGAACAUCGAUGGCGAAGGCAGCCCCUUGGACCUGUACUGACGCUCAUGCACGAAAGCGUGGGGAGCAAACAGG